ensembl:lncRNA
GCUUCUCCCUCUCCUCGCCCCUGUUCCAGUAUUAAUAUUCCGAGGAUCAGAGGGCAUCGCUUUGAAGAAACACCAAACUAUCUGCCUUCCCAGGGGGCUUUGGAGCCUGUGUGAUCCCGUCCAUCAGGAAAGCAAAGGAGCGCCUGGGCCCUGCCCACCUCGAUGGCCCAUGUCCCCGACAGGACUCGGAGCCCGCACAGGAAGCAGAGCUGCCGUCUGGGCCGGGAGUAGCGCGGCUCCGGGGAGAAGCUGGCCGAAGACCACCCAUCAGUGAUGGCUUCUCCCUCUGCACAGGGCCAGUGACACUGGGGGUGUCGGGGCUGACCAGACCAUCCGAGAGCCACCGGGACUGACGAUACACGGAAAAGGCCAAUCAACUGGCACCCAAGAAACACCAAGCAGAAGCACGCCACAUCUGUGAGGCGAGUCUACACACCCACACCCACACCGGGCCCAGCAGCCCCGACACAGGCCGGGAACCCAGGGCUCUAAGCCGUCCUACCUGUCUGCGGCGCUGGCUGACUGCACAGGUGGGCGCGUUCCCAUUGGCUUCCUAGCAAAGGGAGGAGACCCGGGCGCCAGGAGGAGCCAGCUGCUCCAGAACGCAGCCACAGGUGAGGACUGGACGCGGUGGGAGGCUGGCCCGGCAAGCCGCAGAGCCCCCGGAAGCCCUCAAGUGAGCGCUGCCCUCAGCAGCGGCCGUGCGCAUGGGGAACGCACCUGGGGCGCUCGCCUGCCCUCCCCAGGCUCGGCGUGUGCUGCAGGUGGUCGCCACCCCCUAGGGAGGGUGUGGGAGGUGCCGGUGGGCCGUCUCUCCUCAGCUUGGUCUUUGAAGCCCCCAGGGAGCUUUUCUUCCUGUCCCCUGCUCUUGGGGUGCAGGGGCACUGUGCAGGCCCUGGUCCCCUGCUUUGCUGCUGCUGUGCGGCUCCGGCCUUGUGCCCGGUCCCGGGCUCUGCAGGACUUCCUCCAGACUGUGCUGUCCUCAGCGGGCAGGCCGAGGGCUGCAGGGGUUCUGGACGCUGGUGACGAGUGUCGGUCCGGAGCACCUUGGCUUACAGGGUCAGAGGUGAGGGCAGGGCCUGAGCCGCAGCCCGGGAGCUCGGUAACCCCAGAAAUGCUGGUGUUGCUCCUCUCUGCUUGGACUUGCCACGCCGCCUGUCACACCUGCACCUGCACGUCUGCUGUCUGUCCUGGCUUCCUCCUCCGGCGGCCCCGCUGUGGUUCUCGCUGCCCGGCCCAGCGCACGUGUGCCGGCUUCUCAUCCUGCUCACUCGUGACCCGAGCUGGGGCCACGCAUCCCCUGCAGGGGCUCUGCAUGGAGGGAACAUGUUAAGCACUCCACACUGGAAACUCGUCCCCGCUCGAGGUCAAGAGCAGUUUGCCGUCCCGGUGUGCACUCCCAGGGCUGCCCGUGAGACCCACGUCCCUGCCCGUGGUGAUAAACAUUCCUGCAAGUCAGGCCUCGUAACCCAACCACAACCCUAACAGCACAGGCUGAACGCCCUGACUGCAUCGUCCCACUCGUGCACGUGCGUCAGAGUAUACCUCAGCCCCCAGGAAGGACAGACGGCACUGGUCAGUUAAGAGGGAGAGCGCCUCUCUAGCUGCCCACACGUGGUCAGGAGUGGCCCUCAGACACACAUGCACCCUGCUGUGCCCCGGGCAGACCCAUGUGAGUGACGCGGGUGUGGGGACUGCCGGAGUCCCCUGCCGCUGUCUGGGCAGGGCUGGGGGGCUGUGGCCGCCUGUGGUGGAACCUGCAGCCUCCACCCCAGCAGGGUCCUGGGGUCCCAGAUGGGGGACACUAGCUGCCAUCAUCCAUGAGCGUUCAAUCAAAUCACUUCUGUUCAAGCCCUGGCCCUGGCCCCCAGGAAACCCAGGCGGCGACCGUGAAGCCCCAACAGGUCACACUUCCCAACACGACAGCCGCUCCCAGUCACCCCCGGAGCCGUGAGCCCAGGCUGUCCUGUGAGAAGUGGGCUCAUGCCGGCUCGGGGGUGAAAACCAGAGCUGAAGGCCGAGUGGUUGCUCGGCCCUGUCCUGGUGCCUGCACCUGCUGUCCACCUGUCCCUCACCUUUGCACGGUGAGCGAGCACCCUAGGCAUACUCUUGCAUUCCCUGCUGCCCCCCGUGGUGGGGCUCUGCCUGGGUGCCCCCUCUUCACCCACAGACUCCUGGCCCAAAGGGCAAACAGAUCCACACUCCGGCUCAUUUCACAUCCCCAGCAGCCGGGCCGGCUCACCUCCCUGUUUCCCUGAGGAGGGCGGAUGCGUGUGGACCUGUCGUGCCCAGCUCUGUACGGCCCGGGUCUGCAGGGGCUAAAGGCGACCCCA